rfam:Chlorocebus sabaeus isolate 1994-021 chromosome 27, whole genome shotgun sequence.
AGCAGAGUAGUAUAAUUUCAAAACAUUGACUUUGGAGUCAAGAAACCUGGGUUGGAUUUCCAGCUCUGCCA